UAAUGUAUGGGCAAAACAUGGCAUGUGUU
rnacentral:sRNA from 1 species